AAGCAGAUGAAUCCAGGAGGUCAGCAUCCAUUAUUUGUCACCUUGUAGUGGAUUGGAGAAGAAUCUGAGCGUGCCAACGCUUGUUCCUGUCAACAUUAGGCAUAAAGCAGUGGUGUUUUUUUAAGUGGGCAGGAAGAAGAGGAGAAAGUCAUGAGAAGACUGAGGACAAGAACGGAAGGAAAAGGUACUUUAUUGUCACAUACACGUGAAAUGAAUUCUCUGCAUUUAACACUCAUUGCCUCAAGAACCUAAUCUAAGAUGUUUUUGAUGGUGUGGAAAACUGGAGUGCCCACACAGGAAGGAGGAAAACCACACAGACACAGGGAGAACAUGCAUUCUCCACACAGAAAGGCCUGGGAUGACGGGUUAGAAAAGGAGACCUUCUUGCUGUGAGGCCACAGUGCUUUCCGUCCGUAAGAUCUUCCUUCUGGACCUUUGGAAAGUUCAAUGGCACUUCUGUAGGUCCUCUUCAUCGAAAGGUGUACCUGGAGCUUGUAUUCAAGUCCAUCAGUCACCUGCACACUGAAAAGACCAGUGCGAUGCCUACUGUUCAUUCAAGCCUGGAAACAUCGAAGCAGCUUCAUGGGACACAAAGGCUGCGAAGCAGAAGGACAAAGUAGAUGCAGAUGAGAAGACCUUGUUGGCGCUCACUCCAAUUCCAGGCCAUACCGUGUGAGGUACGUAUCUUCAAGGACUUCAGCCAGAUGGGGAACUGGGGAAAAGCUGGGGAUCCAACCUUGCAUGACCUCCAAACAAUCAGAUGACUGGGAAGCCUAUCUGUCCCCAUCUCUUAAAAGAAGAGUAUCACCACAGCAGCCCCACUGUGCACAUCCAGCCAGCCAGUUGAAGAGCUGAAGUUCAAACAGCCCCAAGAACUUCUACUCAUCCUGACAGAUGGACUGGACCACAAGUGAUGCCCAUCACCAGCUGGAGCCUCACGCAGACGCACACACACUGAUGUACAUAGGCUAUAUUGGUUACAGUUGUUCAUUAAAAUGAGUAAUUAUAAUAUUUAUAUUAUAUUUUUGCAUUAUUUUUAAUACCUUUUACUGGUUUUAAUGGUUUUAAUAUAAUUCCUAAUUGUUCAAAGUAUUAAGUCAAAUAUCUAGUAGUAGUAAAGACUCCAAUCAAUUGUCUCUCACAAAUAGUCUGACAGAUUCUUUAUCCUGGUUGUUCAUAAUUAUGUUAUAAUAAAAUUUUAUAUAAUUUGGGAUGAACUUUGGGAUGAAAUUUUGAAUGUUGUGUGGUUUACACAGUAAAAUAAAUUUCAACCUUUACUGAUUAAA